UACGAAGGGGGCUAGCGUUGUUCGGAUUUACUGGGCGUAAAGCGCACGUAGGCGGAUCGUUAAGUCGGGGGUGAAAUCCUGGAGCUCAACUCCAGAACUGCCUUUGAUACUGAAGGUCUUGAGUUCGGGAGAGGUGAGUGGAACUGCGAGUGUAGAGGUGAAAUUCGUAGAUAUUCGCAAGAACACCAGUGGCGAAGGCGGCUCACUGGCCCGAUACUGACGCUGAGGCACGAAAGCGUGGGGAGCAAACAGG
rnacentral:rRNA from 1 species